rnacentral:rRNA from 1 species
AGUGAACGCUGGCGGUAGGCCUAACACAUGCAAGUCGAACGGCAGCACAGUAAGAGCUUGCUCUUACGGGUGGCGAGUGGCGGACGGGUGAGGAAUAUAUCGGAAUCUACUUUUUCGUGGGGGAUAACGUAGGGAAACUUACGCUAAUACCGCAUACGACCUACGGGUGAAAGCAGGGGAUCUUCGGACCUUGUGCGAUUGAAUGAGCCGAUGUCGGAUUAGCUAGUUGGCGGGGUAAAGGCCAACGAAGGCGACGAUACGUAGCUGGUCUGAGAGGAUGGUCAGCCACACUGGAGCUGAGACACGGUCCAGACGCCUGCGGGAGGCAGCAGUGGGGAAUAUUGGACAAUGGGCGCAAGCCUGAUCCAGCCAUACCGCGUGGGUGAAGAAGGCCUUCGGUUUGUAAAGCCCUUUUGUUGGGAAAGAAAAGCAGCAGGUUAAUACCCCGCUGUUCUGACGGUACCCAGAGAAUAAGCACCGGCUAACUUCGUG